rnacentral:rRNA from 1 species
UACGUAGGGCGCAAGCGUUAUCCGGAAUUAUUGGGCGUAAAGAGCUCGUAGGCGGUUUGUCGCGUCUGCCGUGAAAGUCCGGGGCUCAACUCCGGAUCUGCGGUGGGUACGGGGCAGACUAGAGUGAUGUAGGGGAGACUGGAAUUCCUGGUGUAGCGGUGAAAUGCGCAGAUAUCAGGAGGAACACCGAUGGCGAAGGCAGGAUCUCUGGGC